UUUCCAUUCACUUAUUUUUUUAAAGUAAUCUCAGUGUUGGGGUGAGAGAAACCUAUCUCUUAUUAUUUUAAUUUUUUUUUCACAUGCAUCUCAGCAUUGGAAAGAGCAGUGCAAUCAAAGUAAUCUUCACAUUGACUUGCAUAUAUACAGGCAAAAGAUAUUUAAUAGGGGAAUUAUGGCUAUUUUCUGUUGCAAUUUUAUUUAAUUAAUGUCAGUUCACCUGUGCACAGGUGAGAUACUGGGUUGGGUUCAUAAGAGUCUAUGAAUCCAUUACCUUCAGGUGAGACACAGCAGUAAGCACAAGCUGAAACCUGUUCUUUGAAUUGGAUUACACCCACGUGUAGGCUUAUUUCUAUAAAUGUUUGUUUGGGCCCUCUCCUCUUUCUUUUGUGUUCUUUCUUAUUAAAAUUGAAAAAUCUUACCCAGAUUGUAGGGGAAAGCUUCUAAAUACAAUGUAAAUGAACAUCUGAAAAGAAAGAAAUCUGUGAUACAGUUCAUAGAUUUGUAUCUUUGAGUGAAAGACAACUGAAUGUUGCUGUCCUUGCUUUUUUGUUCUUCUGGAAGAAGCACAAUAGGAGAAGAUCAAGGAUUCACCUGGUUUCUUUUUAGAGAAAAACCUGAAAACUGGAAUGAAGUUUUAUUGGAAGUUGUACACCUUCAUUAUCAGUACCUGGCAAAUGAGUAGUGGAGUGACAGAAGAGUUCUCAGCAGCAGAUUGUGAAACCAGAAAUACACUCUGCAAGGCAGAAGUUUUUUGCUAUGUGUGAAGAGGAAAGAUAUGGUGAACUUGUAUGUUUCUCAGCCAUCUGAGCUGUAAAUUUGCACCUCUACAAUCCUCUCAGAGAAUCUGUUAAUAACUUUUUGGAACCUAUUCUACUUGAAUCCUAUAAGGCAGUGAGAUUGGAUCCUGCCUGUACAAGGGUCCAUGCAUGGAAAGGAAGAAGCCUCGGGACAUCUGACACUAUAAACUCUGUUGUGAAAGUUUUGUUUCCCAGUUUUCAAAUGCAGCCUUCAUUCAUCCUUUAUACAUAUCCAGAAUUAUAUUUCUGUUGAUUAAAUAUUUCAUGCAGGUACCUCUGUUCUUCAGUAAGUGCCAGUGAUUAAACCUGUCUAUGCAGAAGUGAAAACUGUAUUUUAAAUCUGUGGUACUUCUAAUUUGAUUUUUCUUAUAGUUUAUAUAGCAGUUACCAAUUGUCCCACUCUCCAAGACAGUAUUCAAUCUCUGUUUAUGGUACAGUCCCCCUCCAUUUCAUUUAGUGGAAAAAAUGAAUCAAUGUUAUUAUCUUCCUCAAUCUAAAAACAGCAAAACUGCUAUUUAUUAAAAAUUUUUGAAACGUAUUUUUACUCAUAAUCUUGCUACUUCUUUAUGGCAUCGUUUUGGUGAUGGUUUGGUGUAGUUUUUGUGCUUUGUAUUUUUUUUUCUCUUUUUUUUUUUGUUAGUGGCUCAGCUUAGUGAAAGGACAGAGUCAACCCCGACUGGCUGCAAUAAGCUAAGCACUGGUGUGUGACAUUAAAUGUACACACUAGAAUGUAAGAUGUCAUUGAAAACAAAACCAGCUCUGGAGAGAUAAGGUAAUAAUGAGAACUAGCAUACAGCAAGCACAAUUAAAGUACACCAGAGUGUAAUAUUUGACUAAUCAUCUAAAAAUAUUGGUUUUCCUUAAACUUGAGAUUUGUCAGAAUCACAAAACAACCCAGCAGCCUAGAUAAAUGUCGCAAUGAAGAAUCAAAAAAUCACAUUUGAAAAUAUGGGCUAUGUUGCUAUACCCAUAAAGAUUGUAAAGCAAUAGCUGUGUCAGGUCCUCUUAAAAAUAAUACGCUUUCAUCUUAUGUCUUAAUGUAAGAGCUUCUUUUUGAGCAGAUGUUCUGGGAGUGCUCCCUCCCUUAUGCAAUGACAGAAGCAUAGCAAUGCUCCUAGAGAGGUUUACCUUUCAGAGCUGACAAGUGUUAAAAGAAAAUGGGGGGUGCGAACAGGUUUAUAAUCUACAUCACAGAUAUGUGGGAAAGGGUUUUAAAAUACACUGUGUAAGGGAGAGGAGAAAAAUCAGACACAUUAAAUAAAAUCUAUAUAAAUAGUAACA
ensembl:lncRNA